GACGAACGCUGGCGGCGUGCUUAAUACAUGCCAGUCGAACGGAAAGGCCCUGCUUUUGUGGGGUGCUCGAGUGGCGAACGGGUGAGUAACACGUGAGUAACCUGCCCUUGACUUUGGGAUAACUUCAGGAAACUGGGGCUAAUACCGGAUAGGAGCUCCUGCUGCAUGGUGGGGGUUGGAAAGGUUCGGCGGUUGGGGAUGGACUCGCGGCUUAUCAGCUUGUUGGUGGGGUAGUGGCGUACCAAGGCGUUGACGGGUAGCCGGCCUGAGAGGGUGACCGGCCACAUUGGGACUGGGGUGCCAGCCGGAGUCCUACGGGAGGCAGCGGUGGGAGUCAUUGCAAGAUGGGCGGAAGCCUGAUGCAGCAACGCCGCAUGCGGGAUGACGGCCUUCGGGUUGUAACCCGCUUGCGCCUGUAACGAAGCGUGAGUGACGGUAAUGGGUAAGGAAGCACCGGCUAACUACGUG
rnacentral:rRNA from 1 species